AUAGCACUCCCUCCGUCCAGAAAUACUUGUCGGAGGAAUGGAUGUAUCUAGACGUAUUUUAGUUUUAGAUGCAUCCAUUUAUAUCCAUUUUUGCGACAAGUAUUUCUGGACGGAGGGAGUACUUG
rnacentral:pre_miRNA from 1 species